CAAUGACCUUUCAAAUGCACCUGGCAAUGAGUGAUUACAAACACUUAUUGUGAUCCAUGUCUUUACCGGUUGUGAUAUAGUUUUCUGAUUGCUUGAAAAGGAAAAAAAUGUGGGCGACAUUGAUGGCAAUUUGAAGAUGUGAAUUUAACAUAAAGAAUGAUGAUUGAUCAGCAUAAAUCACCGAGGUUUAACUGUAAGAUCACACAAACAUAUCAGAUGAGGUUAACAUGGUUAACGAUUCAAGAAACUAACUAUUUGCGCAAAAGGGAAGACUAAUUGAGGGUAUUCCCUCAACUUGGUCUAGACUUUUCCAGCAUGUAAAACGUGCAAUAUACUAAGGCAGGUGUUUAGGGGGACGAGCUUGGAAUUGGCUCUUAUGCUACCCAGUUCAGGCGCUAAUGGAUGGCGAAGGGACAAAGAGGAUCACUUAUUAAUAACUCUUUCUAAGGCCUCAUCAUUUUGGCAGAAGCUUGUACAUUGUGGAUGUACUGGGGAAUGCGGUUCAAUGCAAAAGAUUCUACAUCCUAAGCAUCAGAAACAAAAGCCAUACAAUCUACAGUUUAAGUGGACACAUACUUCAACAAGUCAAGCAUGACCCGUACCUAGGCCUAAAUAUUUCGGAAGACCUCAAAUGGACCACCCACAUAUUAAACGUGGCAAAGAAAGGAAAUUCAAUUCAACGUUAGGCUUUCAAAGAAGAAACUUGUAAUACUGCCAACAAGAUUGCAAAAAAAAAAAACCAGCUAACAUUUCGCUCGUCAGAUCAACGAUGGAAUAUGGAGCCACAGUAUGGGACCCAUACACGGUAACAAACACAAAUAAGCUAGAAAGGAUACAACGUCAAGCGGCAAGAUUCAUCACCAUCUAUUACAAGUCAAGAGAGGACGGUUGUGUCUCCAAUAUGAUUGCCAAACUGGAACUACAAGACCUCUUUACAAUUGCAAGACGAACAAGCUAGAAGUUGAUGUUUAUGUACAAAGUGGUUCAGGGGCUGAUUCCCGUUAUUGAACCAGACGAAUUUCUAAAAAAAAGCACGUCCUAAGAGAAACAUAACUGCCAAGAAGUUCGAAGAAUACCACGCAACAAAUAUUGUGGAAAACAAGUUAGAAUCACUCUAAGUGUUUUGACAUUCCACUAAGCAAAACACCACAAUACUCAAACUCACUCUUUGAAAAGACAGUGAUCGCGUCGAAUCAGCUACACAACACUGUAGACUAAGUGCGCGCAUCAAGCGUAGAGAGCGUCAAAUCUGCUCUUAAUGCUCGUCAAUAUAUCUGCGCGCUCUCUCAAACCG
rnacentral:lncRNA from 1 species